CAAGAAGGGCUUCAGCUUGGGUAGCUUUUUGGCAAUAGAGUCACAAUAACUCUUAUGGUCUAUGACCAGCCCCGGUGGGUUAUAUCAAUGGGAAGUUGUGUAAAUGGAGGUGGAUACUAUCAUUAUUCCUACUCUGUUGUUCGAGGUUGUGACCGGAUUGUUCCAGUGGAUAUCUGUCCCUGGCUGCCCACCAACAGUUGAGGCCUUGCUUUAUGGACUUCUGCAGCUACAGAAGAAAAUUAACAAGCGCAAGGAUUUACUUCACUUAUGGACCAAGUGAGCACAUUCUGCUUAUAUUCCUUUAACAUGGCUACAUUUUGGCGAGAUACUAAUCAGUUUAGUAUAUGCCGGCUUGUUAUGGCCAAGGGUCAUUCAUGAUAUCUGAAGAAAGCCCCUUGAAAUUACUCUAAACUGUAAUGCCCAGUUGUGGUUUUUUAUUGUAUCUAAUGAGAGGUUUACAUGUUCUUUUAGUUUUCUCACUUCCAGAUUUUUAAAAAAAAUUGAAACUCUAUAUGUUAUUUUUCUUUCUGGCUGAAGUGAAGCUAUCCUUUGGUUUUGUAUCUGGGUUAAGGAUGAAGAGAACCUUUGAUUAAAAUUCAGUCUUCUAAUAAGAUUAUGAAACUUUGUAUGUUCAGUAGUAUAUUUUUAGGAUACAUUCGCUUGAUCUCCUGUAUUCAAUAGUUUUUUCCCCUUCCUUUUCAAGGACUUAAAUUUUUGAACUUUGGUAGUUUCACGAGAGUUUUAGAUUGACAACAGUAAUUUCAACUAUGGUCUGUAUCCUUAAGGUAUCUUCUACCUUUGUGCUAGUUAGUAAUCUCUCCUGAAUGUUCCUUUUGUUUUUUUAGGAGUUCUUUCGGAAUUUUUUUGUUUUGGUUUUCAGAUUGUUUUGUUUUGGUUUUCAGAUUUGUGAGGAGUUGUUUCAGAUUGUUAUUUGUCAUUUCUUUUAAGUUUGUUGUAUUUUUUGGUAAUUAUUGUAAGACUAUGAUGUUUAUUGAAUAUAUGAAUUUGAUGGAUAGUUUAUUGGAGUUA